AGUAACGGCGAGUGAAGCGGUAACGGCGAGUGAAGCGGUAACAGCUCAAAUUUGAAAUCUGGCUCCUCGGGGCCCGAAUUGUAAUUUGUAGAAGAUGCUUUGGGUCUGGGCCUGGCCUAAGUUCCUUGGAACAGGACGUCGUAGAGGGUGAGAAUCCCGUAUGCGGCUGGCGCCCGUGCCCGUGUAAAGCUCUUUCGACGAGUCGAGUUGUUUGGGAAUGCAGCUCUAAAUGGGUGGUAAAUUUCAUCUAAAGCUAAAUAUUGGCCAGAGACCGAUAGCGCACAAGUAGAGUGAUCGAAAGAUGAAAAGCACUUUGGAAAGAGAGUUAAACAGUACGUGAAAUUGUUGAAAGGGAAGCGCUGGCAACCAGACUUGGGCGCUGUUGAUCCGCUAGGGUUCUCUCUAGGGCACUCGGCAGCGCGCAGGCCAGCAUCGGUUUGGGGGGUUGGAGAAUGGCUGGUGGAAUGUGGCUGUCUUCGGGCAGUGUUAUAGCCACCGGUGGCAUGCAGCCUCCCCGGACCGAGGACCGCGCUUCGGCUAGGAUGCUGGCGUAAUGGUUGUCAGCGACCCGUCUUGAAACACGGACCAAGGAGUCUAACAUCUAUGCGAGUGUUUGGGUGUUAAACCCAUACGCGGAAUGAAAGUGAACGUAGGUGAGAACCCGUAAGGGUGCAUCAUCGACCGAUCCUGAUGUCUUCGGAUGGAUUUGAGUAAGAGCAUAGCUGUUGGGACCCGAAAGAUGGUGAACUAUGCCUGAAUAGGGUGAAGCCAGAGGAAACUCUGGUGGAGGCUCGCAGCGGUUCUGACGUGCAAAUCGAUCGUCAAAUUUGGGUAUAGGGGCGAAAGACUAAUCGAACCAUCUAGUAGCUGGUUCCUGCCGAAGUUUCCCUCAGGAUAGC
rnacentral:rRNA from 1 species